UACCCCGGUGGAAAUUUAAGCAUAUAAGUAAGCGGAGGGAUAAGAAAACUAAACUAGGAUUCCCUUAGUAAUGGCCGAAUGAAACAGGGGACUUUACCCCGUUGAAUUAAGCAUAUAAGUAAGCGGAGGAAAAGAAACUAAACCGGAUUCCCUAAGUAAUGGCGAAUGAACAGGGAUGAGCUCAUUGUUAAAAUCAGGGUCCCCGACUCUGAGUUGUAGCCUGGAGAUGCGUCGCCAACAGGGGCGUAGGUGCGAACCUCUUGGAAAAGAGCAUCAAGGAGGGUGAGAAUCCCAUGCAUCACCUGUGGCCCCCUGUGCUCGGCGCGCUUUCUAAGAGUCACGCUCCUCGGGAUUGGAGCGCAAAGUGGGUGGUAAAUGCCAUCUUAAGCUAAAUAUGGGUUCGAGACCGAUAGCAAACAAGUACCAUGAGGGAAAGGUGAAAAGGACUUUGGAAAGAGAGUUAAAAGUGCCUGAAAUUGCUGUAAGGGAAGCGAAUGGAACCAGUCAACCUCGGCGAGAUUGCUGCGCGCUCAAGUGAGGCCCUGCUCCGGUUGUGCAAACACGGCUGCAGGCGUCGAUCUGGUUGCGCGUGGUCGCUUCUUGCUCUGGGUGUCAGCGUCAGCUCAACUCUGAGGACAACCCCAAGGACAUGGAAGGCCGCCCCCGGGUGGCUGAAGUUGCUUGGCGGAACUCAAGCGUGGACUGCUGGGCGCAACGCGCCUGCGCUGACGACAUGGAUUCGUUCGGCCCGUCUUGAAACCGGUACCCAGGGAUUUCUUGCUGGGCGCCUGGAGCACAUCCUUGACAUAAGUACAAUGACUAACUGGUUUUAUUCGACCCUUCUUGAAAACA
rnacentral:rRNA from 1 species